CUACGGGUUGCUCCAGUGAGGAAUAUUGCACAAUGGGGGGAACCCUGAUGCAGCAACGCCGCGUGGAGGAUGACGCAUUUCGGUGUGUAAACUCCUUUUAUAUGUCAAGAAAAUGACGGUAGCAUAUGAAUAAGCACCGGCUAACUCCGUGCCAGCAGCCGCGGUAAUACGGAGGGUGCAAGCGUUACUCGGAAUCACUGGGCGUAAAGGACGCGUAGGCGGGUUGGAAAGUCAGGUGUGAAAUCCUACAGCUUAACCGUAGAACUGCACUUGAAACUUCUAAUCUAGAGUAUGGGAGGGGGAGAUGGAAUUAGUGGUGUAGGGGUAAAAUCCGUAGAUAUCACUAGGAAUACCGAAAGCGAAGGCGAUCUCCUGGAACAUUACUGACGCUAAGGCGUGAAAGCGUGGGGAGCAAACAGGAUUAGAUACCCCAGUAGUC
rnacentral:rRNA from 1 species